CUUGAACGCUGGCGGCAGGCUUAACACAUGCAAGUCGAGCGAGCGGCGGACGGGUGAGUAAUGUCUGGGAAACUGCCUGAUGGAGGGGGAUAACUACUGGAAACGGUAGCUAAUACCGCAUACCAUCAGAUGUGCCCAGAUGGGAUUAGCUAGUAGGUGGGGUAAUGGCUCACCUAGGCGACACUCCCUAGCUGGUCUGAGCGGAUGACCAGCCAGACGGGAACUGCGACACGGUCCAGACUCCGACGGGGGGCAGCAGUGGGGAAUAGUGCACAAGGGGCGCAAGCCUGAUGCAGCCAGGCCGCGUGUGGGAAGAGGGCCUUCGGGUUGUAAAGCACUUUCAGCGAGGAGGCGUUACUCGCAGAAGAAGCACCGGCUAACUCCGUGCCAGCAGCCGCGGUAAUAC
rnacentral:rRNA from 1 species